GCGCCUGUAGCUCAGCGGAUUAGAGCAGCUGACUACGGAUCAGCAGGUCGGGGGUUCGAGUCCUCUCAGGCGCU
rnacentral:tRNA from 1 species